GCCCGUAUGGCUCAGUGGUAGAGCAUCAGUCUUGUAAACUGAGGGUCCCGAGUUCGAUCCUCGGUGUGGGCU
rnacentral:tRNA from 1 species